CAUUUUAAUGUCCCUCUGCUUGGAUUUGCUACUUAGUUUUUCUUUAAUCAGGAUAGGGGCCCUCAAUCUCGAUGAAGAUAACACGAGGAGUGCACAGGCAAGUGCCCAGUUGCCAGCAAUUGCUUCAAAAGCCCAUGUUCUUCUUUUCCCCCAUUCUUAGGCACAGCCAAAAUUGGUCAGAAAGGGGAGUAAAGUGGGACACGAGCUUCAAAGUAGGGAAACCAAAGAAGGGAGCAUCCACGUCCUCUCUCUGCAGCUUCUCCCCCGCGUUCUUCGGGCGAAUCCGAGGGACGGGCGCUGCGCUGGGGAAAGUUUGUCCCACCCGCGUUUCGCAGCUGGUUGCAAGGAGAGGAGGAGGAGAGGGAGGGUCAAGCUCGGAGCCUGUGACCGCACGGAUGAUCGAGCCGGCGUCGCGCUUACCUCGCAGUCCUCGUACUUGAUAUUAUCCGUCAAUUUCCAAAGCAUUUUCAUGGAUCGGCGUGAACGGAUAUGCCCCUCUCGGUCUCGCACCCAAGUGGAGCUACUCUCUGGGUCUUUACCAACAGCCUAAUCGCCUCAUUAGCAUAUCAACAAUAGUCCAAUUGCUCGCCAGUACCACAAUCUGCCGCCGGCCGCUCCGACACAGGUAUAAAGGCCUCUCUACGCCGCGAACUUGCUUCUAGAGCGCACUCCAGCCUGCGAACUGAUAAAACCUUCCUCGAGCUCCGCCGCGAGGCCCUGCCCCAACACCCCCUCUCUUACCCCAAUUCCGCCACAUUCCCCUUCCUUUCUUUCUCCGCUUCCUUUUCUCCAGAGAUGCCUUCUGCAAAGCCCGGCACUGCUCAAGGUCCAAGCGCCACGCCUGGGGCCCAGCUUCUAGCACUUCUCCCUUAACCCUGCUACCACGAUCCGAGCUGCCCUUUUGGCCCCGUGCAAUUUUAUUAGAAAUCAUUAUCCCUUUCGCAAUUAAACAUAACCACCAAACCAAGACCGGCGAAGUCACUCCAGGAUUUUUUCCCAACAAGGGAUCGCCUCCGCUCGAGGCAGCCACCCCCUCGGGCCGCAGCGCCUUGGGAGUUUUAUUGGCUUUGAGCUUUCCCCCAGGUUGGAGAUUCUGCCAAGCGGCUCCGGUGGCUCUGCUGGGGUUUGCAAUCCCUUAAUUGCAGCGUGUAAAAUAAAAGUUGUACCCUGAAGAGGUUACUUGACAGCUCCAGGGGUUAAACAAUUUUUCUCCUGUUUGUGUGAAGCUAGGGCCAACUGACAGUUCAAAUUGGUGUUCAGGCUAAGGUUUCCUGGGUGCAACGUGGACACGAAUACAGAACUCCUAUGGAACUGCACACCCGCUUCUGAAGUUGAGCCUAAAAACAGACGUGUGUGUGCCUGCAAGUCUAGAUACCGUCUCGUGCGUGCAUCAAAAUAAAUCACCGGGAACCGACUUUUAGCUGUGUUAAUCUGCUCUAGUUUUCCCAAGAUUCCCCUUUUUAAUUAAAGCAGGGAGAGUUCCUUCAUGAUUUGGUGAUGCUACUAACGCGGGCGUGCUCGCGAGGCAGAGCCCGGCUGCCGCGGAACCUGGAGGCCUGGGAGCCACCUACUCGUCCAGACUGGUCAGUCCGGGCUUUUGGACUCCUCACCGGGGCCUGCUGGGUCCUCUGGGGCUUUUAUCCCUUUCGGUUUUGGGAUUUUUUUUUAAGUAAGAAAAAAAAAAAAGAAAAG
rnacentral:lncRNA from 1 species